GGUGAGAUGGCCGAGCGGUCCAAGGCGCCAGACUAAGGUCACUUGAAGCAUAUCUGGUCUCUUCGGGGGCGGGAGUUCGAAUCUCCCUCUCAUCA